CACGUUUAAGUAAUUGCGCUCAGGCACUUUCUCAGUCGCCUACACUGGGUCCUUCAUUCCUCCUGAAGGACUUUUCUGGUUGCCUGUCCACGUGGAGAUGAGUGUCAUCAUGCGCUCUUAAAGCGGUAAAGAUGGCUUCAUUGUGUAGCAUGUGGCACUGCAUUGAAAGCAGCAGGAAAUGGCUGGUGCACCGUGUCACGUGUUGACCCCAUGAGGUGUGAAUCUACAUUUUGUGAGCAGGCCUGCAGGGUCAGGGUUACAUGACACCUGGGUCUAUAUUCACCAAGGAGUGAUCCUUUCUAAUGGAGGUAAAUUACCCAGCAUUCAAGGACUAGUGGCGUGUGAGAUGCUGUUUUCUGCGAGAUUUGUGAAUCUGCACUACAUUCUUUUAUAAAUAAAACCUUCUGCUUAACAGUCUUGUCUUUUGUAUGUGGAUGUUUUUUGGUCUCUUGAAAAUCAGUUUAAAUGUUUUGUGGUACACGGCAUAAAAAGUAAAUAGUCCAAACUUUUCUCAGUUUCCACAUUAGAAAUAGUUGUUCCACUUUUCACUUGCGGUGUCUUUAGCAUUGUUUGUAGCAUUACAAAUUAUUUUUCUCAUGUGCAUAUCUCAGAUAGCUAUGACCCUUUUGAUAUAUGGCCACC
rnacentral:lncRNA from 1 species